rnacentral:snRNA from 1 species
GUGCUCCCUUCAGCAGCACAUAUACUAAAAUUCAAAUGAUAACAGGGAAGAUUAACAUGCUCCUGAGCAAGGAUGACACACAAAUCCAUGAAGUGUUCCAUAUUUUU